rnacentral:rRNA from 1 species
CUGGCGGCGUGCCUAAUACAUGCAAGUCGAGCGGACCGAAGGGAGCUUGCUCCUUUAGGUUAGCGGCGGACGGGUGAGUAACACGUGGGCAACCUGCCCUGCAGACUGGGAUAACUUCGGGAAACCGGAGCUAAUACCGGAUAACACCGAAAACCGCAUGGUUUUUGGUUGAAAGGCGGCUUUUAGCUGUCACUGCAGGAUGGGCCCGCGGCGCAUUAGCUAGUUGGUGAGGUAACGGCUCACCAAGGCGACGAUGCGUAGCCGACCUGAGAGGGUGACCGGCCACACUGGGACUGAGACACGGCCCAGACUCCUACGGGAGGCAGCAGUAGGGAAUCUUCCGCAAUGGACGAAAGUCUGACGGAGCAACGCCGCGUGAGCGAAGAAGGUCUUCGGAUCGUAAAGCUCUGUUGUCAGGGAAGAACAAGUACCGUUCGAGCAGGGCGGUACCUUGACGGUACCUGACGAGGAAGCCACGGCUAACUACGUGCCAGCAGCCGCGGUAAUACGUAGGUGGCAAGCGUUGUCCGGAAUUAUUGGGCGUAAAGCGCGCGCAGGCGGUUCCUUAAGUCUGAUGUGAAAUCUCGCGGCUCAACCGCGAGCGGCCAUUGGAAACUGGGGAACUUGAGUGCAGGAGAGGGGAGCGGAAUUCCACGUGUAGCGGUGAAAUGCGUAGAGAUGUGGAGGAACACCAGUGGCGAAGGCGGCUCUCUGGCCUGUAACUGACGCUGAGGCGCGAAAGCGUGGGGAGCGAACAGGAUUAGAUACCCUGGUAGUCCACGCCGUAAACGAUGAGUGCUAAGUGUUAGAGGGUAUCCACCCUUUAGUGCUGCAGCAAACGCAUUAAGCACUCCGCCUGGGGAGUACGGCCGCAAGGCUGAAACUCAAAGGAAUUGACGGGGACCCGCACAAGCGGUGGAGCAUGUGUUUAUUCGAGCACGCGAGACCUUACCAGGUCUGACAUCCCUGACACCCUAGAGAUAGGGCGUUCCCUUUCGGACAGGUGACAGGUGGUGCAUGG